CCUACGGGCGGCUGCAGUGGGGAAUAUUGGACAAUGGGGGGAACCCUGAUCCAGCCAUGCCGCGUGUGUGAAGAAGGCCCUCGGGUUGUAAAGCACUUUCAGUGAGGAAGAACGCCUGGUGGUUAAUACCCAUCAGGAAAGACAUCACUCACAGAAGAAGCACCGGCUAACUCCGUGCCAGCAGCCGCGGUAAUACGGAGGGUGCGAGCGUUAAUCGGAAUUACUGGGCGUAAAGCGCGCGUAGGUGGCUUGAUAAGCCGGUUGUGAAAGCCCCUGGCUCAACCUGGGAACGGCAUCCGGAACUGUCAAGCUAGAGUGCAGGAGAGGAAGGUAGAAUUCCCGGUGUAGCGGUGAAAUGCGUAGAGAUCGGGAGGAAUACCAGUGGCGAAGGCGGCCUUCUGGACUGACACUGACACUGAGGUGCGAAAGCGUGGGUAGCAAACAGGAUUAGAUACCCUUGUAGUC
rnacentral:rRNA from 1 species